rnacentral:lncRNA from 1 species
CAUCUAAAAGGAGCUGAAGAAAGCUAAAGGAAAGGAAAAGCAGGCAACCUAGAAUUGCCUGAAAGUUCCAGCCUUGCUGAUUCCAGCCCAACAUGAGGUAAGCUGCCAAAAUCCUACAGCCUCCAAUUGCCAACAUAAGAGGCCCCAGCACACAAAGCCAGUGACCAAGACCUAGGCUCCCAACACAAGAAGCUUGGGUCAGUGCCCUCUGUUCCCCAGCAGGAGAGCUCAAUCUCUUUAAAGGCCAGGGAAUAAAGAAACCAUGAGUAAAAAGAAACAUACCAUAGAUUCAUAUUAUGAGAAGAGUGAAGAUCAAGACAAAUUCUGAAGAGGACAACAUUGUCAACAAACCCACAUCUGCAACAUCAAAAGGGAAUAUGAACUGGUCUGAAGCCCAAAAAGCCUUCUUAGAAGAGCUCAAGAAGGAUUUUAAAAGUCUAAUGAGAGAGGUAGAAGAGUCCUUAAAAAAUACAAUUGGCCAAUUGGAAAAAAAGUACACUGAAGAAAACAAAUCCCUUAAAAAUACAAUUGGCCAAUUGAAGAAGGAAGUACAAAAACUAACAGAAGAAAACAAUCUGUUAAAAACUAGAAUUGGACAAAUGGAAACUAAUGACUCUAUGAGAGAGCAAGAAUCAGUCAAACAGAAACAAAAAAAUGAAAAAAUAGAUGAAAACAUAAAAUACCUCAUCGAUAAAACAACCGACCUGGAAAAUCGAUUCAGGAGAGACAAUUUAAAAAUUAUUGGACUACCUGAAAAUCAUGAUGAAAAAAAGAGCCUGGACAGUAUCUUUCAGGAAAUCAUAAAGGAAAACUGCCCUGAAGUCCUAGAACCAGAAGGUAAAAUAACCAUAGAAAGAAUACACUGCUCACCACCUGAAAGAGAUCCCAAAUUGACAAAACCAAGGAAUAUAAUAGCAAAAUUCCAAAAUUACCAGAUGAAAGAGAAGGUGCUGCAAGCAGCCAGAAAGAAACAAUUUAAAUAUCAUGGAACCACAGUCAGGAUUACACAGGAC